rnacentral:sRNA from 1 species
UGCAUUUUGUAGCUAAGUUUUUGUUCAAGUUUGUGACAAAUUUCCUUAGUGAAAUUCCUAGAAAGAAAUUACUGGGUUAAAGGGAAUGACUUUUUUUUUUUUUGUAUUUCAAGAUCUUUGAUAUGUCUUACCAAAUCUUUCUUACAGAAAAGUUUACUCAUUUAUACACUCAAGAAGGGUGUGUCUCAUUUAAAAAAUCAUAUAUUUUUCUUUUUUAGGCUUUGAAAUUUCUGAAAACCAGAAGAGGCAGGCUGCAAUGACUGUGAGAAAAGUCCCUAAGCAAAAAGGUGUCAACUCUGCCCGCUCAGUUCCUCCUUCCUACCCACCACCGCAGGACCCGUUAAACCACGGCCAGUACCUGGUCCCCGACGGCAUCGCUCAGUCGCAGGUCUUUGAGUUCACCGAACCCAAGCGCAGCCAGUCACCAUUCUGGCAAAACUUCAGCAGGUUAACCCCCUUCAAAAAAUGAUACCUACAGGGAGGCAGAUAAUUUUAAAAUAAAGUAAAUAAAAUUA